ACACCUCAACUCGUUGUGGUUUUCCACGAUGGGCUUGGACUUUGGGGGUUUUGCUGGCCUACGGUUGGCUCCUCUAAAAUGAAUCAGCUUACCGGUGUUUGGUGGGUAUCAUGGGUGUGAUAACUAUCUACGCUUAUGGUUUUUCCACCAGGCAACCUUCGUCAGUGGAGGUUCACUGGAGCUCAUAGACGUCUCUCCUCAGUGAGGACAGCCCUUUGAAU
rnacentral:misc_RNA from 1 species